rnacentral:lncRNA from 1 species
GCAGCAGAAGCAAUUCGGAACGCCAUGAAACGCAAAAUAAACGCAGAAUGAACGAAAAGGAAAUUCAAAUUCACAUCAGUUGCAAAACAGAACUAUAUACAUACAGGGCGCCUUCGUGAAUUUGGGGGCUCUUAUAAAAAAAAUUCAGAAAUUAUCUUCCACUUCUUCUUCCCGCGCCUCUAACCAACCUUCAAUCUUCCAAUCACCAGCCAUUACAACUCUUUAUAAUUCUGUAAAUCGAACCGCGCCUCCGCAAUAUCACAACAAUAGCAUAAUUCGCGAGCUUGAUCUUUCGAAAUCCAAAACAAGAAUUGACAAAAGAAAGCUCAGAAGUGGAUCGAGAAGAGGAGAAGAAUCAGAAGUCGUAACAACACGAUUGAAGAAGGAGAUUGGAACAUCUUACCGGGAGCCACCGUGUUGAAUGUUGGACGCAGAUUCAAGGUUUCAAUGGCAGUUAUUCAGACGACGAACGAAGCUUGACGUCGUGAUAGCUUAAGGAUGUCACAGAGGGAGGUUCUCCGGCGCCGACGGGAAGGGUUUCUCAUUACCGGCCUCAACAUACCGUUGUCGUUUUCGUGUGCUAGUGUCUCAUUUUGAACGAAGAGU